rnacentral:rRNA from 1 species
CAGCAGCCACGGUAAUACGUAGGGUGCGAGCGUUGUCCGGAAUUACUGGGCGUAAAGAGCUCGUAGGCGGUUUGUCGCGUCGUCUGUGAAAUUCUGCAGCUUAACUGUAGGCGUGCAGGCGAUACGGGCAGACUUGAGUACUACAGGGGAGACUGGAAUUCCUGGUGUAGCGGUGAAAUGCGCAGAUAUCAGGAGGAACACCGAUGGCGAAGGCAGUUCUCUGGGCCGUAACUGACGCUGAGGUGCGAAAGCGUGGGGAGCAAACAGGAUUAGAUACCCGUGUAGUCCCUGUCUCUUAUAC